CCUGACUGCUAUCGGAUUGAUACUAAGCCAUGCGAGUCAUUGUAGUAAUACAAGGCAGACGGCUCAGUAACGCGUAGUCAACCUACCCUAUGGACGGGGAUAACCUCGGGAAACUGAGAAUAAUACCCGAUAGAACAUUAUGCCUGGAAUGGUUUAUGUUUCAAAUAAUUUAUUGCCGUAGGAUGGGACUGCGGCCUAUCAGUUUGUUGGUGAGGUAAUGGCCCACCAAGACUAUUACAGGUACGGGCUCUGAGAGGAGUAGCCCGGAGAUGGGUACUGAGACACGGACCCAGGCCCUAUGGGGCGCAGCAGGCGAGAAAACUUUGCAAUGUGCGAAAGCACGACAAGGUUAAUCCGAGUGGUUUCUGCUAAAGGAACCUUUUGUCAGUCCUAGAAACACUGAUGAAUAAGGGGUGGGCAAGUUCUGGUGUCAGCCGCCGCGGUAAAACCAGCACCUCAAGUGGUCAGGAUGAUUAUUGGGCCUAAAGCAUCCGUAGCCUGCUUUGUUAGUUUUCGGUUAAAUCCAUACGCUCAACGUAUGGGCUGCCGGGAAUACUGCAAAGCUAGGGAGUGGGAGAGGUAGACGGUACUCGGUAGGAAGGGGUAAAAUCCUUUGAUCUAUUGAUGACCACCUGUGGCGAAGGCGGUCUACCAGAACACGUCCGACGGUGAGGGAUGAAAGCUGGGGGAGCAAACCGGAUUAGAUACCCGGGUAGUCCCAGCUGUAAACUAUGCAAACUCAGUGAUGCAUUGGCUUGAUGCCAAUGCAGUGCUGCAGGGAAGCCGUUAAGUUUGCCGCCUGGGAAGUACGUACGCAAGUAUGAAACUUAAAGGAAUUGGCGGGGGAGCACCACAAGGGGUGAAGCCUGCGGUUC
rnacentral:rRNA from 1 species